rnacentral:tRNA from 1 species
GCCACGGUAGCUCAGUUGGUAGAGCAGCGGUUUCGUAAACCGCAGGUCGUCGGUUCGAAUCCGACCCGUGGCUCCA